rnacentral:lncRNA from 1 species
GAUUGAAAAACGUAGGCCCUGUUCUCCUGCUGUGUAAACGUAUGUUGACAACAAAACUGUCACCGUAUACAGACAUUGCAUUCUCAAGGAGGGACACUGUAUUCAGCGUGGUGACUGACAGCAGAGGUGAAGGAAGCCUGCAGUGAAUAACAGAGAAGGAAAAUGAACACCCACACAUGAUGGGUCCUCAGGACAUCAGACAGCUGCUAUUAUGUCUGGAGGAUGAAAUAUUAAAGAAGAGCAGAAAAAGAGAUCAAGUUUACAACACAGAAGUAUGAGGACGCAACACAACAGCAUUCCUUGUUGUACACAAGUACCCUGGAAAAAUCAAAAUGGGAGAUGAAGACAGCGGCGAUGGCAAUCUGUGUCAGUUAUUCCAGAGCCACCCCCGGUUCCCUGUGGGUCUUAUCUGAGCCACUUAGCUGGGAUAUUCUAGACACAUCCACUGGACUUCUCCACAGCGGAAAUACACCCCAUCUACCCUGCGGUACUCAUCAACCUGGUUACCAAGGUUACUGCACACCGCCAGGAAACCACAUUAAGCCACAACAUGAGAAAGGAGAUAUUGUACAACAAGGAAAGUAAAAAAAGAAAGAAAGAAAAAAAGGCAAGGUUGCAAACUACAGUGUUUUUUUCAAAGCACUGAUCUCUUUUGAUCAGAAGCAAGAUUUUUG